rnacentral:rRNA from 1 species
GGCUCAACCGUGGGACCGCACUGGAAACUAUUUGGCUUGAGUCCAAGAGGGGGAGCUGGAAUUCCAGGUGUAGGGGUGAAAUCUGUAGAUAUCUGGAAGAACACCGGAGGCGAAGGCGAGCUCCUGGCUAUGGACUGACGCUGAGGCGCGAAAGCGUGGGGAGCGAACAGGAUUAGAUACCCUGGUAGUCCACGCCGUAAACGUUGUGCACUGGGUGUUGGCCUUGAAAGGUCAGUACCGUAGCUAACGCGUUAAGUGCACCGCCUGGGGAGUAUGCCCGCAAGGGUGAAACUCAAAGGAAUUGAUGGGGGCCCGCACAAGCGGUGGAGCAUGUGGUUUAAUUCGAUGCAACGCGAAGAACCUUACCAUCCCUUGACAUCCAGUGAAUUUUCCAGAGAUGGAUUAGUGCCUUCGGGAACACUGAGACAGGUGCUGCAUGGCUGUCGUCAGCUCGUGUUGUGAGAUGUUGGGUUAAGUCCCGCAACGAGCGCAACCCUUAUCCUUAGUUGCCAGCACGUAAUGGUGGGAACUCUGGGGAGACUGCCGGUGAUAAACCGGAGGAAGGUGGGGACGACGUCAAGUCAUCAUGGCCCUUAUGUCCUGGGCUACACACGUGCUACAAUGGUUGGUACAGAGCGACGCAAGACCGCGAGGUGGAGCAAAUCGCAGAAAGCCAAUCUCAGUACAGAUUGGAGUCUGAAACCCGACUCCAUGAAGGUGGAAUCGCUAGUA